GUAUAUUAGUGCUUGCGCACAACAAUAGGUUUCAUUACAUUCGAGUGUGUGUAAAAAUCCUCUGCCGGCCGAAGCUAGCAAGAGGCCAAAGGUUCACAGGGUAUUGGAUGAAAGUCACCAACGUGCACUUGCCGAAGCCGGCCAGCACUGAAGGCAACGAUUCGCAAUCAGUAAUGAUCCUUCCGCAGGUUCACCUACGGAAA
rnacentral:misc_RNA from 1 species